GACGACACUGCUGUUCCUUCUGAAGGCACCAUGAAGCUCACCAUCGCCAUCACCAUCUGCGCUCUACUUUACUUCUUUGGUCCUGCUUUCGGCCAGAAUACCAAUUGCGGAGGUUUCCAUAACAGCGGAAACAUGAAUAUGGGUCGACUGAGGCGUGACAAUUCGAAUAGCGGAAAUUUCCAAAACACCGGAAGCAUGAAUAUGGGUCGACUGAGGCGUGACAAUUCGAAUAGCGGAAAUUUCCAAAACACCGGAAGCAUGAAUAUGGGUCGACUGAGGCGUGACAAUUCGAAUAGCGGAAAUUUCCAAAACACCGGAAGCAUGAAUAUGGGUCGACUGAGGCGUGACAAUUCGAAUAGCGGAAAUUUCCAAAACAGCGGAAGCAUGAAUAUGGGUCGACUGAGGCGUGACAAUUCAAAUAGCGGAAAUUUCGGAAACAGCGGAAGUAUGAAUAUGGGUUGACUGAGGCCUACCUGUGAACCAACUGGAAAUACAAUCGACCCAAAAAAUGGCUGAUGACGGGGAGCAGAGCUGCAGAGCUACGGUCCACCGUUGGUCCACAGUUGGUCAGGAAGACUCCAGAGUCACUUUGAGACAAUAAAGAAUUUCAGCAUCAC